GACGAACGCUGGCGGCGUGCUUAACACAUGCAAGUCGAACGGAAAGGCCCUGCUUUUGUGGGGUGCUCGAGUGGCGAACGGGUGAGUAACACGUGAGUAACCUGCCCUUGACUUUGGGAUAACUUCAGGAAACUGGGACUAAUACCGGAUAGGAGCUCCUGCUGCAUGGUGGGGGUUGGAAAGUUUCGGCGGUUGGGGAUGGACUCGCGGCUUAUCAGCUUGUUGGUGGGGUAGUGGCUUACCAAGGCUUUGACGGGUAGCCGGCCUGAGAGGGUGACCGGCCACAUUGGGACUGAGAUACGGCCCAGACUCCUACGGGAGGCAGCAGUGGGGAAUAUUGCACAAUGGGCGGAAGCCUGAUGCAGCAACGCCGCGUGCGGGAUGACGGCCUUCGGGUUGUAAACCGCUUUCGCCUGUGACGAAGCGUGAGUGACGGUAAUGGGUAAAGAAGCACCGGCUAACUACGUGCCAGCAGCCGCGGUGAUACGUAGGGUGCGAGCGUCGUCCGGAUUUAUUGGGCGUAAAGGGCUCGUAGGUGGUUGAUCGCGUCGGAAGUGUAAUCUUGGGGCUUAACCCUGAGCGUGCUUUCGAUACGGGUUGACUUGAGGAAGGUAGGGGAGAAUGGAAUUCCUGGUGGAGCGGUGGAAUGCGCAGAUAUCAGGAGGAACACCAGUGGCGAAGGCGGUUCUCUGGGCCUUUCCUGACGCUGAGGAGCGAAAGCGUGGGGAGCGAACAGGCUUAGAUACCCUGGUAGUCCACGCUGUAAACGGUGGGUACUAGGUGUGGGGUCCAUUCCACGGGUUCCGUGCCGUAGCUAACGCUUUAAGUACCCCGCCUGGGGAGUACGGCCGCAAGGCUAAAACUCAAAGGAAUUGACGGGGCCCCGCACAAGCGGCGGAGCAUGCGGAUUAAUUCGAUGCAACGCGUAGAACCUUACCUGGGUUUGACAUGGAUCGGGAGUGCUCAGAGAUGGGUGUGCCUCUUUUGGGGUCGGUUCACAGGUGGUGCAUGCCUGUCGUCAGCUCGUGUCGUGAGAUGUUGGGUUAAGUCCCGCAACGAGCGCAACCCUUGUUCACUGUUGCCAGCACGUUAUGGUGGGGACUCAGUGGAGACCGCCGGGGUCAACUCGGAGGAAGGUGGGGAUGACGUCAAGUCAUCAUGCCCCUUAUGUCCAGGGCUUCACGCAUGCUACAGUGGCUGGUACAGAGAGUGGCGAGCCUGUGAGGGUGAGCGAAUCUCGGAAAGCCGGUCUCAGUUCGGAUUGGGGUCUGCAACUCGACCUCAUGAAGUCGGAGUCGCUAGUAAUCGCAGAUCAGCAACGCUGCGGUGAAUACAUUCCCGGG
rnacentral:rRNA from 1 species